rnacentral:rRNA from 1 species
CACUAUUGGAGCGGCCGAUAUCGGAUUAGCUAGUUGGUGGGGUAAAGGCCUACCAAGGCGACGAUCCGUAGCUGGUUUGAGAGGACGACCAGCCACACUGGGACUGAGACACGGCCCAGACUCCUACGGGAGGCAGCAGUGGGGAAUUUUGGACAAUGGGGGCAACCCUGAUCCAGCCAUCCCGCGUGUGCGAUGAAGGCCUUCGGGUUGUAAAGCACUUUUGGCAGGGAAGAAACAGGUCUGGCUAAUAACUGGACCGAAUGACGGUACCUGCAGAAUAAGCACCGGCUAACUACGUGCCAGCAGCCGCGGUAAUACGUAGGGUGCAAGCGUUAAUCGGAAUUACUGGGCGUAAAGCGUGCGCAGGCGGUUCGGAAAGGAGGAUGUGAAAUCCCAGGGCUUAACCUUGGAAUGGCAUUCUUAACUACCGGGCUAGAGUAUGUCAGAGGGGGGUAGAAUUCCACGUGUAGCAGUGAAAUGCGUAGAGAUGUGGAGGAAUACCGAUGGC